GAUGAACGCUGGCGGCGUGCUUAACACAUGCAAGUCGAACGGUGAACGAGGGAGCUUGCUCCCUCCGGAUCAGUGGCGAACGGGUGAGUAACACGUGAGUAAUCUGCCCUGGACUCUGGGAUAAGCGUUGGAAACGACGUCUAAUACCGGAUACGAGACGCGAAGGCAUCUUCAGCGUCUGGAAAGAACUUCGGUCCAGGAUGAGCUCGCGGCCUAUCAGGUAGUUGGUGAGGUAACGGCUCACCAAGCCUACGACGGGUAGCCGGCCUGAGAGGGUGACCGGCCACGCUGGGACUGAGACACGGCCCAGACUCCUACGGGAGGCAGCAGUGGGGAAUAUUGCACAAUGGGCGCAAGCCUGAUGCAGCAACGCCGCGUGAGGGACGACGGCCUUCGGGUUGUAAACCUCUUUUAGCAGGGAAGAAGCGAAAGUGACGGUACCUGCAGAAAAAGCACCGGCUAACUACGUGCCAGCCGCCGCAGUAACAC
rnacentral:rRNA from 1 species